GUAGAGCUUGCUCCAUGAUUCAGCGGCGGAGGGUGAGUAAUGCCUAGGAAUCUGCCUGGUAGUGGGGGACAACGUUUCGAAAGGAACGCUAAUACCGCAUACGUCCUACGGGAGAAAGUGGGGGAUCUUCGGACCUCACGCUAUCAGAUGAGCCUAGGUCGGAUUAGCUAGUUGGUGAGGUAAAGGCUCACCAAGGCGACGAUCCGUAACUGGUCUGAGAGGAUGAUCAGUCACACUGGAACUGAGACACGGUCCAGACUCCUACGGGAGGCAGCAGUGGGGAAUAUUGGACAAUGGGCGAAAGCCUGAUCCAGCCAUGCCGCGUGUGUGAAGAAGGUCUUCGGAUUGUAAAGCACUUUAAGUUGGGAGGAAGGGCAGUAAGUUAAUACCUUGCUGUUUUGACGUUACCAACAGAAUAAGCACCGGCUAACUUCGUGCCAGCAGCCGCGGUAAUACGAAGGGUGCAAGCGUUAAUCGGAAUUACUGGGCGUAAAGC
rnacentral:rRNA from 1 species